rnacentral:lncRNA from 1 species
CUUCCAGGGAAUCCGCUCACAGUUCCUUGGCACAACAAUCUGUGGCACCCAGACUUACUGGGAACUGCUGGAGCACAAUGUGCGUGUGCUUCCCUAGUCAAGGGAGAGAACUUUCUGCCUUCAAAUGUUAGCAGAAACCUGGAUUCCUCUAGUGGGGAGAAUAGGAGGCUAAAGCAAUAAACAAACGGAUAGACGGAGGAACGCUGUGCAUUGUGGGUGUCUGAUGCAUCAUCCUCUGAGGUGGGUGAGAGAUGCUUUCUCCUUUCUACGACCCAGGAUCAGAGGCAAGGAAAGCACCAAGAGCACACACUAAGAUGUUUUCAAAGAAACAACUUAGAAGAGGCAAAGUUUCUUCUCUCACAGAGCCAGAGACACCAUCGUGUCUGGGAAGAAGUGAUGGAGAGCUCACAUCAUGAAGAACAGGAAGGAUGAUGGAGAUCUCACAGCAUGAAGAACAGGAAGGGUGAUGGAGAGCUCACAUCAUGAACAGGAAACAGAGUAGAGCCGAAACAGGAAUGGCCAGGACAAGAUGAAGAUCCCAGUAGUCUGUUUGCUCCAUUCCAGCCAUAGCUCCCUCUGCUCACCUCCUCCCAAUAGUCUGUUGAAAUUAUGAACUUAUUAAUGGGUAAACCAUUAAUGCCAGAGUACCCUCAGGAUCCAACUGUCCCCAGUGGAUGUGUCCAGAGGUCAUCUAAUGGCUGCAAGAUGGCUGCUGCACCCUAGAUUUCACAGUGGCAUUCCUCACAGCAGGAAGGAAGAAGGAUCAAGAACAAAAGUUCCUCUCCACUCUCCUGAAGAAACCCAGUGGAGCAAUGUGGAGGACAAUGAUAGCUGGAAAGCCCACAGAAUCAGCAUCUGGAAAUGGAAGUUGACAGCUGCACUUGUAAAAACGAAAGGAAGAUAUCCUCGGGCUUAAGAUACAGGGCAUCCUAAUAUCAGGGUUCUGUUCAUCUCCAUCCAACCUCAAACUGUUUGCCCAG